GCCAGGUGUAGUAGCGGGCGCCUGUAAUCCCAGCUACUCAGGAGGCUGAGGCAGGAGAAUCGCUUGAACCCGGGAGGCUGUGGAUGCAGUGAGCCGAGAUCGCACCACUGCACUCCAGCCUGGGCAACAGAGUGAGACUCUGUCUUAA
ensembl:misc_RNA Metazoa_SRP Metazoan signal recognition particle RNA